rnacentral:lncRNA from 1 species
CGUGGUAUCCUAGUUGGAAGAGAUAUAUUGAAGAGCAAUCUAGGAAAUGUUAUACGCAAUAGACAAAACACAAGGAUAUGGCAAGAUUCAUGGAUCGACCUAGACACGCCAACUAAACCGUUUGGACCUAUCCUUGAAGCAGGCCUCGAUCUCAGAGUAUCAGAUCUCUUAACAUCAUAGCUUAAGUGGAACAAUUAGAGAAUUCACGAAAUCCUACCUGAUAUGGCGGAGAGGAUUCAAUGUCUGAAGUCAAGUUUGCUAAAUACUGAAGAUUCAUACACUUGGAUCCCCCUCAAGACUGGAACUUACACAAUGAAAUCAUGUUACUACUCAAUAAUGUCAUCAAAUCAUGACACUAGAAGGCCAAUAAUUAUUGGAAAAUUUAAGUGGCACAUAAAUAUCUGGACUGGAGGUUUUUCCCCUAAACUAAAAGUCUCCAUGUGGUCUUGUAUACAUAAGGCUCCACCUGUGGGAGAGAACCUCCGCAGACGUGGUAUUGCUGAUGUUGGAUGCCUGCGCUCUGGAGAAUAUGAAUCAACUGAACAUAUGCUCUUCUCCUGUUUGUUUGCAAUACAAGUUUGGAAUCAAGUACCCAUCCUAAACACAACUCACAUAGCUGCUUUUAUAGACAAGGGAAUCUCUAGUAAGAUCUAGAGCAAUGUUUUGUCUUCCUCCCUCUGGAAUCACGGGAAACAUCCUCCCUUAUAUCUGCUGGGCCAUUUGGACAGCGCAUAAUCGACUGAUAUUCGAACAAGCAGGAUCCCUUCCAGAUGAAAUGACACUUAGAGGUAUCUUAGCGGGAAAAGAGUGGAACCAAGCACGUCACACAUACGCAACGAAAAGGACGAUAAAACCAUCAUCACCAACAAACAACACAAGCCAGAGAUCAUAUUACUUGCCACACAGACGCAGCUUGGGACAAAACCUUGAAUAGGGCUGGACUAGCAUGGAUCUUCAGAGGACCCUCCCUGACAAGCAAUCAACAAGAUUCCGAGACUCAUAACCAUGUAGUGUCCCCUUUGAUGGCAGAAGCUCUAGCAAUUUGAUCAUCCUUCCUCAUGGCAGCUUUGUUUGGGUUCACAAAGCUCAGCAUCAACUCUGACAGUAAAACGCUUAUUAGUGCAAUCAACCACAAGCAAUCGAUCAAGAAAAUCUAUGGUGUUCUUACGGAUCUCUUCAUUGUGUGUUUAUCUAUCUUUUAGUUUCAUUCAUAGAUCGCAGAAUGAAGAAGCCGAUGCUUUGGCUAAGGCAGAACUCAAACUCUCUUAUUGUAAUUUGGAACACGUUUUGGGCUAAACUCUCUUUGGACUCCUCUCUUUAUCUUAAUCUAAGUACCGGUUGAUCAAAACAAAAAAUUCAUUUUUAGAGGUGAUACUAAAGAAUGAUUUACAAAC